rnacentral:rRNA from 1 species
GUGGGGAAUCUUCCGCAAUGGACGAAAGUCUGACGGAGCGACGCCGCGUGAGUGAAGAAGGCCUUCGGGUCGUAAAGCUCUGUCAUCAGGGACGAAUGGCCGGUGGAGUGGAAAGCCACCGGAUUGACGGUACCUGAGAAGGAAGCCACGGCUAACUACGUGCCAGCAGCCGCGGUAAUACGUAGGUGGCAAGCGUUGUCCGGAAUUAUUGGGCGUAAAGCGCGCGCAGGUGGGAUCUUAAGUCCAUUUUGAAAGUUCGGAGCUCAAAUCCGUGAUGGGAUGGAAACUGGGAUUCUUGAGUACCGGAGAGGAAAGCGGAAUUCCCCGUGUAGCGGUGAAAUGCGUAGAUAUGGGGAGGAACACCAGUGGCGAAGGCGGCUUUCUGGACGGUGUCUGACACUGAGGCGCGAAAGCCAGGGGAGCGAACGGGAUUAGAAACCCGGGUAGUCC